UUUCAGAGGGGAGAGGAGGCAGCUGUGGGCAAGAAGAACCUGAGGGAAGGAAGAAGGGGCCGGGCCACAGCAAGCCCCAGGCACUGGAAAGGGGCCCCAGCCAGGGCUCUGUGCCCAGAACAACCUCUGCGCAAAAGGCAGGAGGAAAACUGGAAUGAAAGGCUGGGCAGCUACAGCCCAAGGGAGAGGACAAGAUGCAAACCACAGAGGGGGAAACCCAGGCAGCCCAUUCACAGAAGAGUCUUCUCCACUCAGAGCUGAAGAAACACGCUCAGGCCCACAGCUAGCCCAGCAGGCCCCUGCACUAGGACUGCUUGCUGCUUCUCCAGCUCAGAGCUCAUUGCAGGUGGGCAGGCGUCCUGCUCCAAUGCAAGCUCCUGCCCAGAGGCAAGGUCCGAGGGUAGCUCUUCUCCGUGAAGCCAGCAUGGCAAUGCAAAGCCACUUCCAGGCUACAUGACCUGGGACAGGUCAGACAACCUCCUAAGCCUCAAUGUCUUCAUCCACAAAAUGGGGAUAGUAGUAUAUAUUUCAGACGACUACCGUGAUAAUUACAGUAACACAUGUGAAGUUCUUACCAUAGGGCCUGGCCCAUAGAGAGCCCUCAAUAAAUGGUGCCUCUGUUGCUCCUGGCCCACCCCUGGGCACCCUCUCCCUCCCUCCUUCACUCCCUGUCCUCACCUUCUGCUUGGUGCUGAGGGGCUGUGACUUCAAUUUUUCAUCCUUGCUCUUGGAAAUCCUCAGGAACUGCUUGAGGUCUCCCUAAGGGAAAAGCCAGGCAUCUCGCUCAGAGACAGAGUCUUGCUAUGUUGCCCAGGCUGGUCUCGGACUCCUGGCCUCAGGCGAUCCUCCUGCCUCAGUCUCCCAAAGUGCUGGGAUUACAAGUGUGAGCCACUGUGCCCAGCCGCGUAAGUACUUGUUAAUGGAAAGACUGAUAGGACUCCUGCCCGCUCUUGCCCCAGAACUAGGGAUUUGAGAAGCAGCAGUUUGAGGACCAUGGGGUGAGGGCAAGGACCAGCUGGGGAAUGAAGAGGAAGGCGCAGCUCUGGGAAUGACACCCUGAGUGGAGAGGAGAAGGCUGGUGGCUGGGGUAACACUCAUGUCACAAGUGGUGCUAGGAAGGAGGGAGGCAAAGUGGGUUCUGAUAUAUUUAUUCUCAAGUGGGGACAAGCUUUUGGGGAGGAAAAAAUAACAAACCAAAGAAAACAAGAGUCAGAGAAGAUGACCUGGAAGGCAUCCCUGCAGUGUGACAGUGAGAAGUCCCAGAAAAACUUAGGACCAACGCCCCUGAGAUACAGAUGGAAAGACUGGGUGCUGAUAAAGGGAAAGCAGGCAUCCAAGAGCAGGGAAGGCAGAAGCUGAGCAUCAUAAGGUGGGCAAAGUGUAACAGCAGGCAGGUGAGGUCUCGGCUGAGACUGCACGAGACAAGGUUUUCACGGUGCUCCAACCACUGACUCCCACCUUUGUAGGACACUGCCCUCCCUACCCGAGACCCCCACGUCCCCUGCCAACAGCAUACCAGAUCCACAUAUUCCAGCACCAUGUAGUGGGGCUCAGCCUCCCGGCACAGCCCCAGGAGCCGCACCACGUUGGCGUGGUUCAGCUUCCCAAACAUCUCCAACUCCCUCCGGAAGUCCAGCUGCUGCUGCUCAUCCUUGCUCUGCAGGCUCUUCACAAGUACCAGGGUCUCUGCCACUCCCUCCUCCAAGCCCUGAGCCUUUGCCAGGAACACCUCCCCAAACUCACUCUUCCCUGUGGGUACAGUCUGAGUCAGCCAGCCACCUUCACCCAGGCCGAGGCAGCUCCUGACCUGGGGGAGGGGCCUAGCCUCUCCCACAGUGGGGACCCACCCACCUGGGCUGGGCACGAGACCCGGUUCUGCUGUGACCCCCUCCCUCCUUAGGCUUCAGUGUCUGCAGCAACAAAAUAAAAGGGUGGGACUAAUAUUCAGCAUUUUCC
rnacentral:lncRNA from 1 species